AUUUUACAGAUGACACACUAAGGCGCAAGGCAGCUGCACAUCCACGGCCAGCCUCGUUGUCUUCAGGGAUUUGUUCAAAGUUCAUUCUGAAUUGUAAGGUAACCACUGCAGAACACGAGCCUUUCCUGGGUAUGUGUGGUUAUUUCUGCCCUUCACGGUCCCACUCAAGUCCUGCCUCCCUCAGGGAGACCUCCCAGACCUCACCAAGCCGUGGGCACGUGGACCAGAAGCCGUGGACCCCAGAGGCUCAUUUAGGGAUCUGCUUUCUGAACCCAGGUCCUAACAUCUGCACUGCAGCGAGCAUUUCUGGUGCCUCAAGUGAGUCACUCCAACUUCCAGCUCACUGAGAGGCGAUGGAGCACUGAGUGCCAGCAUCUUCCAGCACCAGAGGAGCUGACUCUGAAUAGACAGCUCGGCAGCGGCCUCAGCACAGAGCAGGGGAGCCACCAGCCACAGGCAGCCACUGAGCCCUUGGCAUGUAACCCGGUAACCCAUGCAACAGAAGACCUGAGCGUCCAGUGUUGCUAGCUUGAAGUAACUUCAGUGGUGUUCCCCAGCGUUUUUCUCAUCCCCCUCCCUUCCCUUCCCCUACAGCUUUCUUCCUCUUUCCCCUCCUUCUGAGUCUUUCGUCCCCAGUCCUGGGAACCUUUUUUCUGACUUGGUGUUUUCUCCUGAAUGCCUCCUUCCUGGCCCCCUAAUCAGAAAUGCAGAAGCCACCUGCCCCACACAGGGGGCCACUUUCCCUGCAUCUGGCACUCACCAGGACAGUCAUAGAACUGGCCUUGGGUGCUUGGGGAGAGUGGAGAGGUCUGGGGGGCAUCCACUGGCCUCAGCCUCAGAGCUUCUCAUCAGUAACCCAGGAGGCAAAGGCCCAGCUCAAGAUUAGCCCAGGCCACUGUAUCUGUGCCAAGACCUACAGCUGUCCCUGCAGGGCGUGCAUCUCUGCAGCCCAGGCUAUCACAAUGGUGUCCCUUUUGGUGGGGAUGUGAGGCCUGCUGCUGCCUGGGAAGAAGCUGACAGGAUUGUUGGUGCUGUGGGGAGAAGCUGGUGUAACUGAGACCCAUGAGGGAGGCCCUUUGUGGGUCUGUGGCUGGGAGGAGCUCUGGGGAAGAUGGGCCUUGAGAAAUCCCAGCUUAGCACCUUUGACAGUUGCUCCACUGAGUCACCCUAGACUGCAAUCUCACAGAUGUUCUAACCACCCUCUCCCUGGGGAGCCCUUGGGGGUGCUGCAAGCCCAGUCCUCACUCACUGGCUUUGUGCUUCUCUUCCCGACUUCCUUUUUUUGCUCCUGUUGAGAAAUGUGGGUCCAGGGCUGCGUGCUCCAGUGUGCGGAAGGAAGGGCAGCGUGCUCUUUGGACUGAGCUGGCUCAAGGGAAGCUGGGUCUGAGGGGAGACUGACCUCGACCCUUCUUAAAUGAAACACCUUUUCCCUGCGUCUCAGUCACCGUUACCUGGCCUGAUCACUGUGUGCCACACCCCAUCACAUCCAUCCCCACAAGAAUGCCAGGAGGAGGGGUCAUUGGCCUUUUUGUCAGCACAAACCUCUGGAGGCCCAGCUCCCAAGACCCGCCAGGCACACCUGCCAGAGUGCCUUAACUUGGGAUGUCUGCAAACCUCUGUCCAUGGCCGAACCCACCCCACUGCCUGUUACUGUAAAUAAAGGUCUAUUAGCAUGCCACCAUGCCCCUCCUCCGAUGCAUACAGUGCCCAGCUCAGCACCUGGUGCAAGUAAGCACAAUCUGGCUUCCAGCCAUCACUGCUGUUGCUACUAACACAAAUAUUAGGCCCCUUCUAGAAUGCAAAGAUAACCCAGGGCUGCUCGUUCUGUGUCCAGAUCACAGAGUUUUUCUUUUUAUCCUUAUCAACUUUAUUGAGGGAUAAUUUACAGGCAAUAAAUCAUAUCCAUUUAAAAAAAAAAAAAAAAAA
rnacentral:lncRNA from 1 species